rnacentral:lncRNA from 1 species
CUGCAUAUUGAGUAGCAAGCACAUAUAGCUCCCAGAGAAUAAGAAGCUAGCAUAUUUAGAGGUAAUGUACUUUCCUGAACAGAACAGCUGGCAUGCCAUCCAAAAUAAAUGAUAUAAUGGACCAAUUGAAAUGGAUUCCAAUUGUAACUUUUCACUUAUAUGUAAGAGACAAGAUACAUACUACCACUUAAUGCCACACUAGUUAGCACAGACUGAUUGCUUAGUCAUCCAAUUAACUUUUUCUUGUUAAUCUUUCCUUCUUUUAUGUGGGUAGGGGAGGGGGGUGUUGAGAUCGAACAUACCUG